CGCGGCCUAUCAGCUUGUUGGUGAGGUAACGGCUCACCAAGGCGAUGACGGGUAGCUGGCGUGAGAGCGCGACCAGCCACACUGGGACUGAGACACGGCCCAGACUCCUACGGGAGGCAGCAGUGGGGAAUAUUGCGCAAUGGGCGAAAGCCUGACGCAGCGACGCCGCGUGGGGGAGGAAGGCCUCAGGGUUGUAAACCCCUGUCAGGUGGGACGAACCCCGAGUCGGAUAAUACCCGGCUCGACUGACGGUACCACCAGAGGAAGCUCCGGCUAACUCCGUGCCAGCAGCCGCGGUAAUACGGAGGGAGCAAGCGUUGUUCGGAAUCACUGGGCGUAAAGGGCGCGUAGGCGGUCGCGUAAGUCGGAUGUGAAAACUCGAGGCUCAACCUCGAGACGCCAUCCGAUACUGCGCUGACUUGAAUCCAGUAGGGGAGUGUGGAAUUCCUGGUGUAGCGGUGAAAUGCGCAGAUAUCAGGAGGAACACCUAUGGCGAAGGCAGCACUCUGGGCUGGUAUUGACGCUGAGGAGCGAAAGCAUGGGUAGCAAACAGGAUUAGAUACCCUGGUAGUCCAUGCCGUAAACGGUGGGCACUAGGUGUGGGGACUUUCAACGGUUUCCGUGCCGAAGCUAACGCAUUAAGUGCCCCGCCUGGGGAGUACGG
rnacentral:rRNA from 1 species